AUUUUCAAUUCUAUAAUUAUUAAAUUAGUAAUGCCUGAUUUAAAUUAGAAAAGUUAUUUCCAUCAUCUCGAAUAAUAUUUAUUGAGAAAAUAUUAUUGCCAUUUUCAUUUUAAACAGUUUAAUUAUUUCCAGUUUUCGUUCUUUCUAAAUAUUUUAUUUCGUAGCAAAAUUAUUUAUCAAGCCAUUAAUUUUUUGUAAUUUUAAAACGUUCAACUUUGUCAAUUUCAAUGAGAGUGUCUUUUUCGUUAUCAGCUAAUACUGACCUUCAAUUAAUUUCUUUUACCUUUAUAAAUACCAUGCUGGUGCCUUUCCGGCUCAUUUUUAUAUUCUUCGCCAAGUAGGCAGCAGCGAGCGCUACAGACCUAAUUGGCACCCAGGAGAAGGGCGUGGCCCUAGCUUUUACACCAUCUGUUUUGGCCCAGAGGAUAUAAUGCCCCCAGAAAGUAAAUCAAGUAAAUGGUAAAUAGCAGCUCCUCAAGACCCAUGGGUUCGACGAACAUUUAGACAACUCCGGAGGCAACAACCGAUCCACCAGUACAUCAGACCAGUACAUCAAAACCUGACGCCUCCCGAAGAAGAUCAUGAGGUGUGGAUAACCUAGGACAGCACCGGAAGAAGCCUUCACACCACAAGUUAAGUCUUCCUUAGAAUCUUAUAUUUUCCUGUCAGCAGAGACAGAUUUUUUAUAUAAAUUAACUUCAUAAUAACUUCACAAUGAUGUAGAUCCUAAAUUAUAACCAAAGAAAUGAGAAAAUAAAGCAUUUAUACCGAAA